GACGAACGCUGGCGGCAUGCCUAACACAUGCAAGUCGAACGAGACCUUCGGGUCUAGUGGCGCACGGGUGCGUAACGCGUGGGAACCUGCCCUUAGGUUCGGAAUAACUCCCCGAAAGGGGUGCUAAUACCGGAUAAUGUCUUCGGACCAAAGAUUUAUCGCCUUUGGAUGGGCCCGCGUUGGAUUAGCUAGUUGGUAGGGUAAAAGCCUACCAAGGCGACGAUCCAUAGCUGGUCUGAGAGGAUGAUCAGCCACACUGGGACUGAGACACGGCCCAGACUCCUACGGGAGGCAGCAGUGGGGAAUAUUGGACAAUGGGCGAAAGCCUGAUACAGCAAUGCCGCGUGAGUGAUGAAGGCCUUAGGGUUGUAAAGCUCUUUUACCCGGGAUGAUAAUGACAGUACCGGGAGAAUAAGCUCCGGCUAACUACGUG
rnacentral:rRNA from 1 species